rnacentral:rRNA from 1 species
UACAUGGGGUGCAAACGUUGCUCGGAAUCACUGGGCGUAAAGCGUCUGUAGGUGGUUUAAUAAGUCAACUGUUAAAUCUUGAGGCUCAACCUCAAAAAUCGCAGUCGAAACUAUUAGGCUAGAGUAUAGUAGGGGUAAAGGGAAUUUCCAGUGGAGCGGUGAAAUGCGUAGAGAUUGGAAAGAACACCGAUGGCGAAGGCACUUUACUGGGCUAUUACUAACACUCAGAGACGAAAAGCUAGGGUAGCAAAUGGG